rnacentral:rRNA from 1 species
GCUUGUCUCAAAGAUUAAGCCAUGCAUGUCUCAGUAUAAGCUUGUGCAUAGUGAAACUGCGAACGGCUCAUUAUAACAGUUAUAAUUUGUUUGGUGUUCAAGUUUACAUGGGUAACUGUGGCAAUUCUAGAGCUAAUACAUGCUGUUUUGCCUGACUCUGUGGUAAGGCUGUGCUUAUUAGAUGGAAACCAAUGCGGGGCAACCCGGUAUAUGGUGAUUCAUAAUAACUUUCGGAUCGAUCUUCGGAUCGAUGCAUCAUUCAAGUUUCUGCCCUAUCAGCUUUGGAUGGUAGGGUAUUGGCCUACCAUGGCUUUAACGGGUAACGGAGAAUUAGGGUUCGAUUCCGGAGAGGGAGCCUGAGAAAUGGCUACCACAUCCAAGGAAGGCAGCAGG